CGCUAUAAGAUGAGCCUAUGUCGGAUUAGCUUGUUGGUGAGGUAAUGGCUCACCAAGGCGACGAUCCGUAGCUGGUCUGAGAGGACGAUCAGCCACACUGGGACUGAGACACGGCCCAGACUCCUACGGGAGGCAGCAGUGGGGAAUCUUGGACAAUGGGGGGAACCCUGAUCCAGCAAUGCCGCGUGUGUGAAGAAGGCCUUAGGGUUGUAAAGCACUUUCAAUAGGGAAGA
rnacentral:rRNA from 1 species